CGCCGAGCUGCGGCUGUCCUCACUCAUCCUCAGCGAGAAGCAGGUCCUGCCGACUGAGAAGAUGAAGGACGAAACCUGCCCCGCUGAGUGCGGGAGUUCGUCGCAUGCGCAUGUCGUGGAACCUACUCUCCACGAGUUUUUAUUGUUGUUGCUUUUGUACCCCCUCGGGAUCCCUAGCGGAGGCAGUGACUCUCUUUCCCCCCAAGACGUUGUUCCCUGUUUGAAGGUGUUCUUCCUAAUGUUUCCUAGGCUGCUGAAUUCAGCUCUCUAAAAAAUGCGGAAUGCUAACCAUGACUCCCAGGCAAGUGCUACACCAAAGCAUCUAUUCUGCUGGAAACGUUCAUGCUGAUUAACUAGAAAUAAGUUGAUCCUCUACUGAGUAUCAGGGAGUGCGUUUUUCUAUAACAGGAAAAAACGGAAGAAUGCAAGAUGGAAUUUCCAGUACCUCUUUUUAAGAUACAAUUGGUGUUAGCAUAUUACAAUUAUUUUAUUGCAUCAUCACUAUCAUUAGUAUGAUUAAUAGCCACAUAUUUCCUCCUGACGUUAUGUGUUAUGAUCUUAGAAUUUUGAAGACUUUGACCACUGCGAGUCGGGACCGGGAAUUUUCUAUCUAAAAUAAUAGACUCUACUUCCUUCUAUAUAACUUAGCAAGACUGCCAAAUGUACAGGAUAACAUUUGGAAAAUAAGAUUGGAUUCAUCCCCUAGUGACCAAAUUAAUGCUUUAAUAAUGAGGAAUGCUUUCCCUGAGAUCUAAAACAUCUCACAAGAGAUCUAAGACAUAUAUCACAAUUAACAAAAGACAUGGAAUUUUUUACCACGACUGCUUUGGAUGCUGUGUGGAGAGUAGACAAUGGAGCUAAGGGCAAAAGGGAGAUCAGUCAGAAGUUAUUGCUGGCUUGGACCCAGGCAAUAAUAGGUGGAGAGGUAAGUGGACAUAUUUUAGACAUAUUUUAAAGAAAGCCAACCAAAUUUGCUGACAUUGAAUAUGGAGUGUGGGAGUAUCAAUCACUGCCAUGGGUAUGAAAAUCUUAAUAAACAGAAUUGGAACUCACUAGAAGCAGAGUGUACUCUGAGAGAAACAUUAGAAAAACAGUUACUUGUUCCUGUGGUUCAGAAAUAAGGACGAGUCCUAAAGCGUUGAUAGUGUGCAGGGAGAAGAAAGAGUGAUGAAACUUAAGUGAGAGCACAAUGGGGUUUUGUUACACAUCAGGGUAUGAAGGCGGGAGCUGAAGGAGGAAGGGGGAGCCAAAGAAGUGCCAGGUUUCUGCCUAAGGCUUACCUCAGAGAAGGACAAAAGGAUAUUAGCAUCUUGUUAAUAAAGGCAACUCUUCACACCUGGAGUUUUCCCAGAGCCUGAAGUACGGGGACACCUUUCACAUGUGCGGA
rnacentral:lncRNA from 10 species